UUCUUCCUCCAUAGCUCUCUAAACCCAUCUGGUGCCAUCCACUUACCCAUUGCCCAUCACAACGCUCUCCAAAAGACCCACAUGAAAUAAAUCUCCCAUGGUUCCAGGAAAAGCUCCAGGUCAUUUGAUGUGUUUAUGUUUCUUCUUGUACUUUCAUCGAGCUUGUUCUUGGCAAGCUUCUUUCUCUCCUUUUCAUUUUGACGGGAGUGAUGGACGGAAGAGAGCGUCCUUCAGUCCACUCACAGGCGGUGCUAGGAUCGAAUUAGCUGCCGACUCAUUCAUCCACUUGCCGAGCAAAGUUAUUUGCCGAGGAGCUUAGCAGGUGAGUGAAUGAAGCGGGAGGUAAAGUCUUUGAUCUCGCACCGUCGUUGCUUGGACUGAAGGGUGCUCCCUCCUCCUCUCUAAGCCAUGUUAUGUAGCACGGCACCUGCUUGAUCUGCUCGUUUCUUCGGGCGCCAUACCGCCUGAUCGAUCUGAUCUGUUCUUUUCGAGCUUCUCCGGCAUGAAAUGAUAGAACCUGUGUCGCUCUGGUGUGCUCGCAGUUCUAGUUUGGCUCUUCUUUAAUUUAGUCCGGUAAUGGAUGUCGAGGCUCAAUUUUUCUACUUGUUUAACCAGGCCUUUGUACUAAAAAUCCUUGAUCUGCUCACAGAAGCCUUGUUUUUCUGAAAGCGCAUCUGCUUUGGGUACCUGCGAUGACAUCCUAGAUGCAUGGCUGGGACAAAAUACGGUGCUUUGCUUGCUUUUGCUGGUGUGGGGGAUCGAUCGAUCACAUCGCGCGUCUUUGGGGUCGUGCAAACAGUGAGACGUCUUUCGAUCUCCCUGUUUGCUUUGGAACUUGGCACGCAACCAGGAUGAUUGGACUGGACGUGUGCGUGGCCCUGGUGCUAUGCUAUGCUAGGCUAGCUUUCGGAGCAUGGUCACCACAUGGAUUCGGUCGAGUUCCCCAAACGUUUUUAUCAUCUCCCCGAGGGCUCUUAGGGGCCUAAGUACCCUAUUAAUCUUAGAUUUGUGGUGUACAGUGGAGUAGUUUAUAACCCACUUAUGUUUUUGCAUCUGGAUAUUCUCCCCCCUCGCAUGGAAAUAUGUGAGCAUGCAUGUCGGCUUGUGAUGUGAUUUUAUCAAGUCAGGAUAUGAACAACGUUGUACUCUUUGUAAGCAUGUUGUCAUUAUUUUCACCGAAAUAGUUAUGAAAAAAAUCCUAAUUAGUAUGAUUUCUGGAGAUGCAUCCGGUAGAGUGCUUGUUUACUAGACCUCUCAUUAUUUUACAGAAGUCCUAACAAUAUUAGAUCUUGUUUUGUGCUGCUAGCUAGCUGUUGGUAGAAUUAUUUUACAGUAGUAUGCAUGGUCUGUGUUGGCUUCAUGAGUACAAUUGUUCAUGAUGACUUGAUUGGUGCAAUAAUCUGUCAUACCUAUAUAUAUGUAUUAGUACACACUUUGAAGCAAUUUCGUCCUCUUCAGUUUUCCUAUCUUGUUCAUCUGCAGUCUACAUAUUCAGUUCCAAUUAUUCUCUCAACCUCUUGACAUUUGCCUUCUUGUGAUGGCUAUUAAUUUCUGUACCAAACAGCUUAACAAAUACAGUGACCAGAAAUAUGAUGCCAUGGACAUGAUUAGGAGCUAUGUGCAUUGUUGAGCAGUACUCCACUAUAUAAUGCUUUAUCAUCAACCACACUGCACACGUACGAUGGCUGCUCGCAGAUCUUGUUUGUGAUGAUAGCAAGCGUGCAUGGACUCUCCUUGAAUUGCUGGAUGUUCUUGGUGGGGCUGGGGGUUACUGCGCAGGCCGGCCCGCUAUGUCGGUCAAAGCUGUGGGAGGCACUGUCUAGCCUUUUCACUGCAGAUUAAUGUUCUGUUCUUGACUGCCUCCUUUUGUACUCCCAUGUCCUCCUUUUCAUCGCCAAUUAAUGGUCCGUGAUCCUGAAGAAAGGCGGUGAAUUAGUGAUGGGAUUGCAGACAUGUGCUGCUGCUUCGGGACAUAGCUAGGAAUUAAUGUUGGAGCCAGGCAUAUUUUGCAAAUGCAACGGUACUGCCAGCGCAUGUAGAUGUAGUACUGAUUGUUGCUUACGAAUCUAGUGCGAUGUGUGUGGCUCCUGUGUGUUGUUGAGUGUUAAUUUGCAGCCAAUGUACCCCUAUGUGGUUCUUCAUCGUGUUUUGCAAUUGUGAUUGUCACGCACUCUUGCUAAAUGGCAAACUGGUACUGUAUUAUUUUUCAUUUUCA